rnacentral:misc_RNA from 1 species
UUUUGUUUUCCACAAGAAAUCACGAGUGGAGUGUCUCACUGCUGAUAUAUAUAUAUGUUGUUUGGCAUUUGCAUAGGUUGAUAUUCAUACUCGGUUCUCUUCUCUGGUUUUUGAGUGUGUGAUGAGUUGUCAUUGUUCCAAGCAAAGAAUUAAUAUUUUAUUAAUAAGUUGAAAGGAACAAUGACAACUCAUCACACACUCAA